AUGCUUACCUGGCAGGGGAGAUAGCAUGAUCACGAAGUUGGUUUCCCCAGGGCCAGGCUUAUUCAUUGCACCCUGGAUGUGCUGAACCCUGCAAUUUCCCCAAAUGUGUGAAACUCAACUGCAUAAUUUGUGGUAGUGGGGCACUGC
rnacentral:snRNA from 1 species